rnacentral:rRNA from 1 species
CCUGUACCACCUAGUAUCGUUUUAAUCGAUGGGGGGACGCAGUAGGAUAGGCGAAGCGUGCUGUUGGAGUGCACGUCCAAGCAGUAAGGCUGAGUGUUAGGCAAAUCCGGCACUCAUAAGGCUGAGCUGUGAUGGGGAGAGGAAAUUGUUUCCUCGAGUCGUUGAUUUCACACUGCCGAGAAAAGCCUCGAGAUAGAUAACAGGUGCCCGUACCGCAAACCGACACAGGUAGUCAAGAUGAGAAUUCUAAGGUGAGCGAGCGAACUCUCGUUAAGGAACUCGGCAAAAUGACCCCGUAACUUCGGGAGAAGGGGUGCUCCUGUCUCUUAUACACACCCGA